rnacentral:lncRNA from 1 species
UAUAACAAAUGUGGAAAUCUACAAUGAAAAUAUAUAUUCGAUAUAACACCGGUACUCCUUAACAUAUUUUCCGGUGUUUUGUAUCCAGAAAUAAUUAUUUUUGAAAGUAGACCCUAAUCUUCCGGUUUAACGCUUAUGACAAAUGCGCAUGAAUGCUACUACUGUUUCAAUAAAUCUUUUGUGUCACUUUAGCAUGCUAUCUAAUGCUAAUUCUAAACCAUAGCUCUGACCCAUAACGAGGCAUGCACACAAUGUAAACAAGGAAAAAACUAAACAAACAGAUAAAGAUUAAAUCAAUUUUAAUGCAGGAUAUUACACUUUGAAGAGCACUGUAACAUUCAUUCCAUAGAAGUACACAGAAGGUUCAGGCAGAGGUCGAAAUUGUGUAAUAAUCUUGUAGGUGUGCAACAAAUUUCAAUGCAGGAUACAAGCAGGGAUUAAAUCAAUUGUAAUGCAGGAUAUUACACUUUGAAAAGCACAGUAACAUUCAUUCCAUGGAAGUACACAUACGGUUCAGGCAGAGGUCGAAACUCUCUACAAAUUGCUUUACUUCUAAAUGUACUGUAAAUAUUAAGUGUAUAUAAAUAAACUAAUGUAAAUAUUU